rnacentral:tRNA from 1 species
GGUCCCAUCGUCUAGUCUGGCCUAGGACGCACGGUUCUCAUCCGUGAAACUCGGGUUCGAAUCCCGAUGGGACCA